AGUGCGAUCGGUGGAUGCCUUGGCACCAAGAGCCGAUGAAGGACGUUGUGACCUGCGAUAAGCCCUGGGGAGUUGGUGAGCGAGCUGUG
rnacentral:rRNA from 1 species